CGGGAGGAACGAGCGGGCCUGCCCGCGGUUACCCAGCGAGAUGUUGCAAUAGAGACCUGCAGAAGGGCUUCUACGAGUCACGGAAGUUACUCCUACAGUUGACUUAGACUUUUUCUACUACGCGUGGCCGUGAAACGUUGGCUGUACGAGGGCUGGCAGUAGAUGCCCUGGGGUUUUGCGACGCUGGGCUGUGGAAGCAUUUGGCUGGUGUGGAGCCCCGAGUCAGAGCUGUGUGCGCAGCUCUGGACUCUGAGACAUGAGCGUUGAUUCAUAAACCUUGCUGCUGCUUCCAUAAAAGUACAAAUACGACACGCGGCCCUCUCGGGCUCCUUGGGUUUGGGAGGAUCCUGAGAGCUGAAGGGUUUUCGUUUGUUCUGUGGCUGCAGAAGUGACUGCAGUAAAUGGGUGCAGCGUUUGUGCGUGACUGGUGCCGAGGCCUGCCGGCUUAUGAACCCAUUAGAAAUUUCUGUAUUGGUUCAAUGAUUAUUCUGCAUUAGACAGAAGAAGUGUUCUUCGUCUGUGACUUGGAGUGUUUCGAGGAUUUUUAUGUGCAGAGGAACGUUGUUGUAACUAUUAAAAGGCAUAAUGCAGAAUCCUUUAACAUUUUCUGCAGGUGGUGUUUUUUUGCAUGCUAAUCCUGCAGAGAAACAUUGUGUCCAACAAAGUAUGCUGGGUCAGCAAAAACAAGAAACUUGUGCUGGAAAGACAGUAUCCACAGAUAAACACAAAUCCCCUUCGGAUAUAAUACAAAGUUUUCAGAAGAAAAGUCAGUUUAGGACCAUUGCUCCAAAAAUGGUACCAAAAAUUUUAACAUCUGGAGUGGUUUCUUGUCUUCAGCCAUCUUUGCCCAAGCAAAAUACACCGAUUUCAGCUGCAGGUUCUAAGCCGCUGGUGGUACCAACUCAAAACUACGCUGUCAUGCAGGUGUCUGGUCAUGAGGGAACUUUUUCUCUGUUGGCCUUGCCGUAUGUUGCUCCUGCCCUAACACAGCAAGUCCAGCAGCCAAACAUGGCUCCUUCUGAAAACCUAAAGCUGCCUAUCCCUAGGUACCAAUCUGUAAGAAAUAAAUUGCUAAGUGACAAAAAACCAGCACAAAUCUCUGGUUUGGGUGCACAUAACAAGACUCCUACCAAAGCAUCAAUCUCUUCACAGACUUUCCCCAUGACUACCUUAACUGAAGACUGUCCUGAAGCUCAUUCUAGUUCAGAUUCAACUGAGCAAGUUAUGCUAACAGACCGUGACUCAGCUGAAAUUACAGUUGCCGCAUUAGUAAAUCAAAGCAAUUGUGUGGAAUCUGGAUCUCCUUUAGUGAACAAAACUGAAUUUGCUAACGGUAGUGUUUCUGGGCCAUCUGUAGUUAAAGGCUCUUCAUCCAAGCCAGCAAGUACAAUUAAUCCCAUGAAACUAAGUCUAUGCUCUGUGAAGACAGCAUCUGAAACCACAAGAGAGUCAUUCACAACAUCUGAGAAACUAAAGGAAAAACCCACAAAUUCUGCAAAUUCUGUUGCUGUCCUGUCACCAGCAGUUUUUGGCAGUACAAUACAGAUGACUCCAUCAGCACCGAAAGGAAAACUUCCUAUUUUGCCUUACUCAAGGAUGAAAAAUACAGUGUUCUGUAAGUCUAAGCAGAAUACUAAUGUUACGGAUGUAUCUGGACCUUCACUAAGAUCUGAAUGUGAAAAGAUACCAGCUUUGGCAAAAACCUUUCAUGUUCCUGCUAAAGCGUCUGAUAAACGAUUAGCUGUACCAUUUACAGAAGUCCCCAAAAAAACUAUUCGAGAAAAUACCUUCUCUCCAUCCAGUAAAGUGGAUGUCGACAGUCUUAAAAAAUUGAACGGUGCAGCCUCUAAAAGAAGAGGCAGGAAAAGAAGAGCCGCAGAUGAUUUAUUGGCUUUUCAGACCAAGCGAAGGAAAUGCAUCAUUAAUAAGUUUAGAGAAGGAAGAGAGAGGGCGAAAGUUGACCUUCAGCCACCUGAAGACAAAAAAGCAGAGGCAGUGAAAAAAUACCGUAGUAUCAGACCAAAACCAGUGGUAGUUGUGCAGGCUUUUACACCACUGACUUCUGCAGCAAUAGUAGAGACGCCGUCUCCUGACCGUUUAGAUGAAGAUAUUUUUUUAAAUAGUUUGCUUCCCAACAAAUAUUUAAGUUACAAGCAUAGUGAUGCUACAUCAGCUAAGUCAAGUGAUUUAAGUAGAAAUGCAUGUUCAGCUGUACCUAAGCCAUCGCAUAAAUGUCAUGUUUGUAACCAUGUCUUCCAGUUUAAACACCAUCUUCAGGACCAUAUGAACACACACACAAACAAACGGCCUUACAGCUGUCGAAUUUGCCGGAAAGCAUAUAUUCACUCUGGAAGCCUGAGCACGCAUAUGAAACUUCAUCACAACGAAGGCAAACCCAAAAAACUUGUGUGUUGUGAAUUCUGUGCUAAAGUUUUUGGCCACGCAAAAGUGUAUUUCGGUCACCUAAGAGAAGUGCACAGGGUUGUUAUCAGCACAGAGCCCUCUACUAGCGAGCAACAGCUGCAAGAUGCUUUAAAGAAGAGAGACAAGAAUAUAAAAGAAGCAGAAGAAGCAACGGAGAGGGGAAAUAAAUGCAAUUUUGAGGACCUAUUCCAUAACCCGGGAGAAGUGAAAUUACAGAUCAAAUGUGGUCGAUGCCAGUUUAUUGCACAGUCUUUUGGUGAGAUGAAGUUUCACUUAUUGUGCUUCCAUGGAGAAGAGAUCCAGGGAAGAGUGAAGGAAGGGGGGUUGCAAGGAAAUAGAGGAGCUAAGGGGGAACUGAUCAAACAUGCAACCCACUUCUGGAAACAGCGCAAUGAGAGAAGACAUUUGGCAAAAUGCAGUGCCCGUGAGGAGGAGUUUUAUACUUUUCCAAAACUGAAAAGACAGAUAUACUUUCACCAUCAAACCAAUGUUGAUAUCUUAUCUAAAAGUGAACUGACUCAGUCAGGAAGCGGUGAAGCAGCCAAGGAGAUGCAAAAUGUAGGUUUUGGUACACCAAGCAAAAAAAUAGAAAUUUGGUCUAAAGCGGGCUAUAACUGCAUCUUAUGCAAACAGUUAUUUGGAAGAAAGGAGGAUCUUUGUAAUCAUUGGCAGAGUCAUCAUAACUGUGAAGACCCUUCCACUUUAUGGACAAUUUUUAGUUUGUUAUCAAAACAAGGAAUUCUUGAACUUUCUAAUAAGGGUGAAUAUUGAAGCUCAAUUCUACAAUGCUAUGAAAAACAUUGACUACCUUCCCAAAUUGUUUAUGGUUUUUUGCUGUGUUGCUAAACUAACUCACAAGCUGUGUCACUUCAGGGGUUUGUUUGGUGGGUUUGUUGUUGGUUUGUUUGGGUUUUUUUAAGUUAUGCUAACCUUUAUUUUGUUAAAUAGAAAAUUUAUUUGUCCAGUGUCAUUCCAGAUGGGUACAUGCAAGCUGAUUAUGAAGCACUGUACUUAAAAUUCAAGGUUAAGGAACUUAGCAGCAGCAAAUACUCAGUGCUAACGGUUAACUUCAAGGAAAAAGAUUCUCACGUUAAAUAUACUGUACACACAGAAAUAAAUCAGUUUAUAUGAAGUAAUCUCAGUCUUGAAUGAAAUGACGAACCAGGCUGAAAGUGUAAUUUCAGUCCCAACUGUGCUUCCAGAUUUUAUGGUAAAUACAUAUUUUCAUGCGGUUCUCUGAAUCAUUUGAAUGUGCAUACAUGCAGCCGGCAUUCCACAGCUUUAUAAUCUAUAAUUUAAGAGCUUUUAACUCUUGUUUUCUUGAUUUUCAUGUCUUCAACCAUGUUCAUCGCUUGCAGGUUUGUUAUUGGCAGGCCUUUUAGGUGUUAUAUUCUGUCCUGGUAACAGCAAGGAUCUUUGGAUUUUUAGAGUGAAAAAUCUCCAUGUAUUUUUCUGCCUGUAGCUCUUUAGGUUGAAGACAAGUGAGUUGCCACCUGUGAAGAUGGAACCCUCAAAGCUUGCCUGCUUUAUGAAAGAAAACAAGUUUGUUUUAAAAAUAGUAAUCUGGGUUGGUUACUUCUGGGAAGUUUGACGUUCUGCAAUAGACUGCGUGUUUCACAGUGCACUUUUAGCAUAUUCCUUGCAUCGCCUGUGACAGCAGCACUACUACUGCCAACGCCGUUAGCACUCUGCCUGUAACACUCUUGGUAUAUAGCUUUUGUACCUCUGCAGUUGACCCAGUCUGUGACUUCAAAGGGAAAUUGUUCCUUCACUUCUAAGUCUAUGGUACAGGUAAUGAGGUUUUUUCACUUGUGUUGCCAGAUUUACUGUACUAGAGGAAUUGCAAGCAGCGCCUUAACCUUCCAGUGUCAGGAGCUAGCAGCCGGUAAUGCCGGAAUGGCGCACGCUGUGUCCCCUGCUACAGAGCAGGCACGGUGGUGCCCAUUUCUGCACAUCUCCAGGGGGGCCGGUCAGUUCAGGCUGUAAGGAGAUGGGAGUUCUGGAGCUCAGUUUUGAUGAAAAUGUCAUUGAACCAUGGAUUCUAGUUUGAAAUCAGUGUUUAAACUGCUGUUACUUAAAGCCUUAUGCACCUCUGAAUUAUUUGGGGAGCAAUAAUGGAGGCAGCAUAAGAAGUCACUGUACCACUGUUCAGCAGAAGUCAGAGCACGUCAGAGGGCAAACUGAAAAAUACACCAAUACUGUCUCUACAGUACUACUGUAUCCAUUUCUUCUUGUGGUCAACCUAUAAUUGAGGGAUUGCAAUGAUGGAGUCAUUCCUAAAAUGUCCUGGGUGGUUUCUCACUAUUUUGCAAAAAUUGUGGUGAUGAGAACAUGAGAAGAGAUCUAAAAAUGUUGGAUUUUCUGAGUGGGAUUCCAGAAGAUGUCGCAAUGUUUUGUGUAUUUUUUUUGUUUUUAAACAGUAAAGGCAGUUUUGAUGAGCUAAUAGUUUUGAGUGUAAUUUCUUCUUGUACGGUGCUUUGCCCUGGAAUUGAACUGUAAGACUGGAGCCAGGAAAAAUAAAAGACAAAAAGGAAAAUGCUCAUAGAACUGUACAGGUGCCUGGUAAGGUGGAAGAAUCCCUGUGGAUUUUCAAAACUUCCUUCCUACUAUCUGUUGCUAUGAAUACAUAUUUGUAGUCGUUUCUUUGCUUUCGUAUAUUACUUUUGUAUGCAGAACUACUUUAAAAAUACUACUUGUUCUUACUCUUGGGUAUGGCACACCCAUCUUUUAAUGCUUACAAUGCAUUCGUAUUUAUUUUCACUGGGUGGAUGCAGGAGAAUGUAUGGCGUAUUUGGAAAGGAAUGGCUAAUUUUAAAGUCAUAUCAAACGGGGACUAUAUUUAACUUUGUAAAGUGUGUUUGCAUUUAGAAGCAAUUUUUCCCCCCCAUCUUAAUUCUUUAACUUUCAAAAUCAAACAGCUUGGUGUUUUCUCUGAAACAGAGAUGUGAGAACAGUCCCUCCUUCACGUAGUUAUAAUGUAUCAAAGUCCAGGCCAAAUGGAGAAAGGGGUCUCAGCUUUCAGCAAUUUAAAGCCUGAAAACACGUUUUAAACUUCACUGUUCAACUUUAAAGCUGUUCCUCACAUGGAAAGUUGGUCCUUCAUCAUCACACCAUAAAUAAUCAAAGCUGGAGGAGUGCCAUCGCUUCUCUGGCUUGCAGAGUAUUGCCCUUCUCCAGCUGCAGAGCUACAGUUUCCUAUGGCUAACUUGACAUAGUUGCUGGCAGUAAAUGUUUUACUUCAUUUAUUUAUUAGAAUUUAGAUCUCUGCUGUUCAGCUGCAUCAGAGUUUCUGUCAUACCUCAUUAGAUACUUAUUUCAUUUUAUCUACUGUUCACUGAGCUCUUUAGAGAAAGUGUCAUAAGAAGGAUGAACAGGUAUUUAGGAGAGCAGAUUUCAACCCUAACUUUGUGCAGAUGAUGCUGACGUUUGAGAAUCACCAGCUUAUCUAGGCUCAGCCAUGUAGUAUAUUAUAUUUCUACAACACAUCCACCUACAUGCGCAUCUAUUUUGGAAAGAAACGUAUACUUCAA